AGCGAACGCUGGCGGCAGGCCUAACACAUGCCAGUCGAACGAACUCUUCGGAGUUAGUGGCGGACGGGUGAGUAACACGUGGGAACGUGCCUUUUGGUUCGGAAUAACUCAGGGAAACUUGUGCUAAUACCGAAUGUGCCCUUCGGGGGAAAGAUUUAUCGCCAUUAGAGCGGCCCGCGUCUGAUUAGCUAGUUGGUGAGGUAACAGCUCACCAAGGCGACGAUCAGUAGCUGGUCUGAGAGGAUGACCAGCCACACUGGGACUGAGACACGGCCCAGACUCCUACGGGAGGCAGCAGUGGGGAAUCUUGCGCAAUGGGCGAAAGCCUGACGCAGCCAUGCCGCGUGAAUGAUGAAGGUCCUAGGAUUGUAAAAUUCUUUCACCGGGGACGAUAAUGACGGUACCCGGAGAAGAAGCCCCGGCUAACUUCGUG
rnacentral:rRNA from 1 species